rnacentral:rRNA from 1 species
GGUAUCGCCGUUAGUCAUGUGCAAAUAUGGAUAGCUGUUUUAGCCGUCUUUAUUGACUGGUUUAUAAGAGUUAUCAGAUAUCACUUUGAUUAAAUUAGAGUGCUUAAAGCAAGUGUGUUACUUGGAUAUAAAUGCAUGGAAUGAUGGAAUAUGUUGUUAUUCUAUUUGUUGGUUUUUGAAUGAUAAAAUGAUUGAAAGGAACUGUUGGGGGCAUUCGUAUUGUUGUGAGAGAGGUGAAAUUCUUAGACCACAGCAAGACGAACUACUGCGAAAGCAUUUGCCAAGAAUGUUUUCAUUGAUCAAGAACGAAAGUUAGAGGUUCGAAGGCGAUCAGAUACCGCCCCAGUUCUAACCAUAAACGAUGCCAUCUAGCGAUCAGGAGUUGGUUGUUUCACCAUUCCUGGGAGCUUACCGGAAACGAAAGUCUUCGGGUUCCGGGGGUAGUAUGGUUGCAAAGCUGAAACUUAAAGGAAUUGACGGAAGGGCACCACCAGGAGUGGAGCCUGCGGCUUAAUUUGACUCAACACGGGAAAACUCACCCGGCCCGGACACUGUAAUGAUUGACAGAUUGAGAGUUCUUUCUUGAUUCGGUGGUUGGUGGUGCAUGGCCGUUCUUAGUUCGUGGAUUGAUUUGUCUGGUUUAUUCCGUUAACGAACGAGACUCUAACCUGCUAAAUAGUUGGCUGAUAGCCUAGUCGGUGCGACUUCUUAGAGGGAUCAGUGG